CGGUAAUUCCAGCUCCAAUAGCGUAUACUAAAGUUGUUGCAGUUAAAAAGCUCGUAGUUGGAUUUCUGCGGGGACGGAGCGGCCGGUCGCAACUUACGACUCGAGCUAGCGCUUUCCCCGCAUCCUGCCGCGAACCGUGCUACCAUUAGUUUGGUGGCGCUGGGGAUCGGCUCGAUUACUUUGAGAAAAAUAGAGUGUUCAAAGCAGGCCACACGCCUUGAAUAAGUUAGCAUGGAAUAAUGACUAAGGACUUUGGUUCUUUUCGUUGGUGUUCGGGACUGAAGUAAUGAUUGAUAGGGACAGUUGGGGCGGUCCGUAUUCCAAAGCGAGAGGUGAAAUUCUUAGACCUUCGGAAGACGAACAGCUGCGAAAGCGUUCCGCAAGGAUGUUCCCUUUGAUCAAGAACGAAAGUUGGGGGAUCGAAGACGAUCAGAUACCGUCGUAGUCUCAACUAUAAACUAUACCAGCUAGGGAUCGGCCAACGUUUAACUAUCCGACUUGGUCGGCACCUUAUGAGAAAUCAAAGCAUCUGGGUUCCGGGGGGAGUAUGGUCGCAAGGCUGAAACUUAAAGGAAUUGACGGAAGGGCACCACCAGCCGUGGAGCCUGUGGCUUAAUUUGACUCAACACGGGAAAACUUACCAGGUCCGGACAUAGUAAGGAUUGACAGAUUGAUAGCUCUUUCUUGAUUCUGUGGGUGGUGGUGCAUGGCCGUUUUUAGUCGGUGGAUGUGAUCUGUCUGCUUAAUUGCGUUAACGGACGAGACCCCAGCCUGCUAAAUAGCGCGGCCGAGCUUUGCUCGGUGCGAGCUUCUUAGAGGGACCAUGAUGCGCGAUAGCACAAGGAAGUUUGGGGCAACAACAGGUCUGUGAUGCCCUUAGAUGUUCUGGGCCGCACACGGGCUACACUGGCGCCUGCAACGAGCAUAUCAGCUGGCCCGAGAGGGUCUUGGCUAAUCUUUGGAACCGGCGCCGUGCUUGGGAUUGACCAUUGCAAUUGUUGGUCAUGCAACGAGGGAUGCCUUGUAAACGCGAGUCAUCAGCUCGCAUUGAAUACGUCCCUGCCCUUUGUACACACCGCCCGUUGCUCCUACCGAUGAAUGUUCCGAUGAAAUUUUCGGAGAGCGCCGGAGAACGGGGCUCCGCCCUGCAGAACUGGAGGCUCAAAGUCACUUAAAUCUGAACAUUUCGAGGAAGGAGAAGUCGUAACAAGGUAGCCG
rnacentral:rRNA from 1 species